ACAGGCACUAGAGGCAUUGCAUGUGUGACUCCUAUGUCACAUGUGUAUCAGUAGGUGGCAGAGAGGAGACAGACUUUGUCUAUGCUCAGUGUUCUGCCCUACCAACAUCUGAGUGGUUCCCUGGCCUUCCCUG
ensembl:snoRNA predicted gene, 24792